GCAGGCCCUACCAAUUGCAAGUUCGAGCGGUAGCACAGAGAGCUUGCUCUCGGGUGACGAGCGGCGGACGGGUGAGUAAUGUCUGGGAAACUGCCUGAUGGAGGGGGAUAACUACUGGAAACGGUAGCUAAUACCGCAUAACGUCGCAAGACCAAAGUGGGGGACCUUCGGGCCUCAUGCCAUCAGAUGUGCCCAGAUGGGAUUAGCUAGUAGGUGGGGUAACGGCUCACCUAGGCGACGAUCCCUAGCUGGUCUGAGAGGAUGACCAGCCACACUGGAACUGAGACACGGUCCAGACUCCUACGGGAGGCAGCAGUGGGGAAUAUUGCACAAUGGGCGCAAGCCUGAUGAUGCAGCCAUGCCGCGUGUGUGAAGAAGGCCUUCGGGUUGUAAAGCACUUUCAGCGGGGAGGAAGGCGAUGAGGUUAAUAACCUUG
rnacentral:rRNA from 1 species